rnacentral:rRNA from 1 species
UACAGAGGUCUCAAGCGUUGUUCGGAUUCAUUGGGCGUAAAGGGUGUGUAGGUGGCGCGCUAAGUCGGGUGUGAAAUUUCGGAGCUUAACUCCGAAACUGCAUUCGAUACUGGCGUGCUUGAGGACUGGAGAGGAGACUGGAAUUCAUGGUGUAGCAGUGAAAAUGCGUAGAGAUCAUGAGGAAGACCAGUGGCGAAGGCGGGUCUCUGGACAGUUCCUGACACUGAGACACGAAGGCCAGGGGGAGCAAACGGGG